AGGGUAACAUAAUAGAGGGGUGCUAGCUGCAUAGAUCGACUGAAGGCACAGCUCAAAGAAAGUUCAGUUUACACCUUUGAAAUGUUCAUGGUUGUUGAUACAUGGAGGAAGUACAAGAUAACAGAUUAUCCAUACGAAAUCAAGAUUACUCAUCGCUCAAAGAUCCAAUAGAUUAUCCCACUUGAGGUCCUCCAAGCAUGUACUGUCGACAACACACUUCUAUAUGAUGUUGGUUUAGUGGAUGUGGUGACAGAUAUCAUACCAUAAGAAACAAAUCAAGACCCAAGAACAAAUAUUCACCUUAUCGACACAAGAUUGUGGGCAAUCAUGGAUAGGAGAUACAAUUGAUGUUUAGUAAUAUUCACUUCAUGCUGCUACAAGAGCAACGAAUGGCAAUUAAUAAAUUACAUGGAUGGUGUCAACCUAUAGCUUCCGUGUAUCCAAGUGGCUCUCCUAAAUUUAACUUGCAGCAGUCCAACUCAGCGGGAAGGAAAUUUAAGGAAAAAGCCUUCGCCGAAGGCCAAAAAGGCUUCUCCAAAAGCCGCCUCUAUCUCCGAUGAGGACUUCUACAUCGGCGCCUCCCCUCCUUGCAGUCUCCGUUUCGAUUCUGCAGGGGCUUUCUUACAAGCUACGGAGAAUUUGGGAUUUGUUUAUGCACAUAAAGUGCAUAUUUAAUGGAAAUGGAAGACAUUGGAAGAUCUUGUUUUAGCCGCAGAGGGUGGAGUAUCUGAAAAUAUAGACAGUGAAUUUGAUUUUGAUUUGGAAAAUAUUAGUACCGAUGCUGAGUUGCAGGAAAUAAAGUGCCUGUUUUGUUCUCAAAAUAUUACCAUAGGUACAAUUAUCCCUCCGAUGUUCCUUGUUGCUCUAAUCUCAAGGGAGAUUAUCUUAGUUGAUGGAUAUAUAAGGAUAUGUAUUGGUUUCUAAAUUCAAGCAUACAUGGUAAAUAGUCCUUGUGGAGGGGGCAUAGCAUCACAGAAGCGUUGGCGAGGUACACGGUGGGUACGGAGAUCACAAUUGGGCUUGUCAAAUCUACCUGGAAGCCUAAAUUUGUAAGGAUGUUCAGAACAUAUCAAUAGACACAGUAGAAUGGAUCGGAAUUAGAAGGUUCGAUUCAUUUGAAGCAAAAUACAGACUGCAACGUUCAUACUGAAGUUCAGAAGAGAUAUGAUGACAUGUUAUAUAGGUAUAGCUGAAGCUUAUUAGACUAAUUAUUGUAGAAUACAAAUACAUAGAUCUUUGAGAUGGCUGAAUUAGGAUGGCUAGCUGUAGGGCAUCGAGCUAUACAUUAUUUUGUUGCUUAAAGCAUAUGAAUAUGCAGAAAGACCGAGCACCGCCGAAAAUAGAGAUUGUGGCCUAGCCAAGGGUACAUCUUGUUUUAUCAGUGGUGGAGCAGAGCAUAUCCACGUCAAAACC